UUCCUGAAGACUGCUUUCUCAAGUGGCUUAGUGUCUCCACUCAGGGGUGGUGGAGCUCUUCUUCUCACUGCUUCUUCUCAUUUUUUUCAUGCUCUGGCCUAAUGUCUUGGUGGUAUUAGCCUAGCACAACUUCAGUUGCACUGCAGGUUCUUCAUAAAAUUGAAACACUGUUUCCAGAUUUGGAUUUUCUUCUGCUCUGCCAUGGGUUGUUCACAUUCUCUCAAGGUUGUUACUACUGUUUUACCUUUUUCUACUUGAUAAUUUUGGAAACCGGUAUGUGUGGGGAGACAAGGAUUGAUGGUGGUCUGGAUGUAAGCACUGAAGAACCACAGUAGUGUGAUGACCUUACAGAUUUGAUUCUAGUGAAGGAAUGGACUUUAAAAUCUUACCACUGUCAUUGGCCUUGAGAAACUUCUAAGUAAGUUAAACAGGCUUGAUGGAGGCCCUACAGUGACUAUUCAUUGGCUGAGCCUUUGGAUUAUCUUGGGAGGACCCUGAAAGAAUGACCUGGCCGGAAGAUUGUCCCAUCCUGCAUGAGGUCAGGAUCACUAACUCAAGUCAGGGAGGAAAUAGACACCAGCAUUUCAGCUGUGCCUGACUUGAAUGGUCACAGAGGACUUGAUACUUUGUGCCUUUUCUUUGCUCUGAAAACCUUGGACCACUUGGUGCCUCUGUUCUGUUUCAUGCCUUGUGUCCUACACAGAGUUACAUUAUCAAGUAAACAUCCUCCAAGUUCUGUUGGUGACAUUGUCCACAGAUGAUGCCCAAGCUUUUAUAUUUGUUAGAAAGCCUUCUAUUCACAAGGCAGAUGACUCGUGAGUCACAUGUACUCAGAUGACUUCUUGUUAACCAAUCACCUAAUGACAGAAGGAACCAAUCACUGGGAGGGAAGAAUGAGCCUCACUCUACACCCAGAAUGCCAACUACAUUUUCAUCCAGUCCUCAAAAAAUAUCAUGCGCACCCAGAUUCUCCUGGUCAGACCAACACUGUGGAAACCCACUGGAUGCAUUCAGAGGGAUCACUGAUAAUGAAGAAUGAGAUGCCGUCAUCCAUCUGUAGGAAGAUGCUGCGUGUGCCAUAGAACCCAAAAGUCAUCUAUUGCAAGAGAGAAUCGAUUCUCCCAAGUAAACGGGGCCCUAUUAGUUUAAAAACUAAUGCAGCACAGAGAGAAAUCAGGUUCCUCAGACAAUGUUGAUUCUGUUUCCUUUUGAACCAUUAACAGCCUCACUUAAAGCCAUGUAUUGAAAGCUGCGACUUAACGUUAACCACAGUUUCUAAUGCAUUAAACAAAUGGCAAGGAUGACUGUAGGUCAUAGCCCCCUCCCUUCACACAUUAUACGCAAAUGCUUAUCUACUGGGUAUUUAAAGGAGAAAAGUUACAUCUAAACUCACUCCAUAAUGUAUGCUUUCAGCGUGGGAUGCUAAGCAAGUUCUGAUUUUGCGAGCUCAGAGUCACGCUAAAUGCCGGGAAUACAGGUUUCUUCUCAGAAAGGGCGGGCGGCUUUGGCUAAUGUCCUGGGGGAUGUCUUCAAAAUGCAAAGUGUGUGUCUGACCAUGGCCAUGGCAGUCUCAAGUUCCUUUGCCAAGGACUUUGGGGAAAUUCUUCCUCAGGAAACUCACAUAGCGGGAAGAGCAAGAGAGUCACAAAUAGUGCUUAAACCUGGGGUCUAUACCUUUUAACUCUUCAAACAGACAACAGCAGUAAAAAGAGCUCUGCUGCCAGUCUUCAGAGUCUUAACUGAGUUGGAGGCGAACUAUUGUGAAGUAUAAUGUAGUUAGUGACUCUGAAGUUAGUCCACAGAAAGCCAUUCUUUUUAAAUGGACCUACACAACAAUUGCCCCGCACACAAACUGCACAUGCAAUAUUCAAAGCCACUGCUAGGUGCGUUGCUGAGUGCAGAGAGCUGUGCUCCCAGAACCAUCAAGUCAACACGCCAGCUGCUCAGCAUUAUUUACAAUAUAUUGGCUUCACCACUGACCUAAAGAGCUGAAGAAAAUAACAGGCCAUAUUUUCAGCUUGGUAAAAGCCUGCAGUGGGGAGCCCUUUCACAACAAUUACAAGCAUUUGCUCGGAAUGCAUUUGCUGAUUUAACAAACUGGAGAGGACAAAUGUUUAACAUGCUGUCGUGAGGCUGUUCAGUCGCUUUUCUUGGUAUCCGUUGAUCUGAGAUAAUGUGUUCUUGCCCAAUCAUGCUACAAAGAAGCAGCGGAAAUAAAUAAAUAAAUAGAUGUAAUGCGAUGCGUUCCCACAAUAGCUGAGCUGCUGACGGCCCCUGACAGAUGGAAAGAAAAAAAAAAAAAAGUCAAUAUGAUGUCUGAGACAGCCCAGGCUCGGCACUGCAGAAUAAAUUACAUGAUUCGCCGAAUGCUUGGGCCUCGCUCAGACAUUCAAAAAAAAAAAAAAUUGGAAAGAUAAAAGCUUGCAUUGGCUUCAGAUGAUAUUUACUGCUUGAUGGAUUUACUAGCAGCACCAGUACAGUCGUACUGUAUUGAAUUAUUGGCCUCUAUUUAGCUGUGUGUCUGUCGGCGCUCGAGUGUCCAUUUAAGCAUAAGUGAGCUGGAGACCUGCCAAGCCCCUUUGAGGCUCCGGGUGCAGAGAAAGACGCAGGCUAAUGGCCACCAGCUUGAAUAACAGGGAGUGUAAGGACAUUGGGGGAGGCAACAAAGCCCAGCUACAAAGUACUUGCUUAUCAAUAUUAAUGCCAAAAUAAAUAUUAAUGGAGGCUGCCCGGCA
rnacentral:lncRNA from 1 species